rnacentral:rRNA from 1 species
AGUGAACGCUGGCGGUAGGCCUAACACAUGCAAGUCGAACGGCAGCACAGUAAGAGCUUGCUCUUACGGGUGGCGAGUGGCGGACGGGUGAGAAAUACAUCGGAAUCUACUUUUUCGUGGGGGAUAACGUAGGGAAACUUACGCUAAUACCGCAUACGACCUACGGGUGAAAGCAGGGGAUCUUCGGACCUUGCGCGACUGAAUGAGCCGAUGUCGGAUUAGCUAGUUGGCGGGGUAAAGGCCCACCAAGGCGACGAUCCGUAGCUGGUCUGAGAGGAUGAUCAGCCACACUGGAACUGAGACACGGUCCAGACUCCUACGGGAGGCAGCAGUGGGGAAUAUUGGACAAUGGGCGCAAGCCUGAUCCAGCCAUACCGCGUGGGUGAAGAAGGCCUUCGGGUUGUAAAGCCCUUUUGUUGGGAAAGAAAAGCAGCAGGUUAAUACCCCGCUGUUCUGACGGUACCCAAAGAAUAAGCACCGGCUAACUUCGUG